CUUGGAGUAGCUCAGCAGGAAGAGCCGCGGGCUGCUUACCCGCGAGGCGCAGGUUCGAGGCCUGCCUCCAAGC
rnacentral:tRNA from 1 species